CCCUUAGAUGUUCUGGGCCGCACGCGUGCUACACUGAGUAAUUCAAUGGGUAAGGGAACGCUAGAGCAUUACCUAAUCUUGAAAUUUGCUCGUGAUGGGGAUCGACGGUUGCAAUUUUCCGUCGUGAACGAGGAAUACCUUGUAGGCGCAUGUCAUCAUCAUGCGCCGAAUACGUCCCUGCCCUUUGUACACACCGCCCGUCGCUCCUACCGAUUGAGUGAUCCGGUGAGGCUCUGGGACCUGGACGGAAAGAGCGUUUCGCUUGUUCUGUUUGGGAAACUUGGUCGAACCUUAUCAUCUAGAGGAAGGUGAAGUCGUAACA
rnacentral:rRNA from 1 species